AUUGAACGCUGGCGGCAUGCCUUACACAUGCAAGUCGAACGGUAACGGGCCUUCGGGUGCCGACGAGUGGCGAACGGGUGAGUAAUGCAUCGGAACGUACCUUUCAGUGGGGGAUAACGUAGCGAAAGUUACGCUAAUACCGCAUAUUCUGUGAGCAGGAAAGCAGGGGAUCGCAAGACCUUGCGCUGAUUGAGCGGCCGAUGUCAGAUUAGCUAGUUGGUGAGGUAAAGGCUCACCAAGGCGACGAUCUGUAGCGGGUCUGAGAGGAUGAUCCGCCACACUGGAACUGAGACACGGUCCAGACUCCUACGGGAGGCAGCAGUGGGAAUUUUGGACAAUGGGGGCAACCCUGAUCCAGCCAUGCCGCGUGAGUGAAGAAGGCCUUCGGGUUGUAAAGCUCUUUCGGCCGGGAAGAAAUCGUAUGGGUUAAUACCCUGUGCGGAUGACGGUACCGGCAUAAGAAGCACCGGCUAACUACGUGCCAGCAGCCGCGGUAAC
rnacentral:rRNA from 1 species